UAUAGAAAUGUGAAAUAUUGGUUUUCUACAGAAUGUAAAAUAGGUUGACCUCCUCUUCUUUGUGGCAUUUGACAUCACAGACAAUGAGCAGAUGAAGCUUCAGAGAGAGAGGCAGAGAUAAUGAAGAAAAGUGAAAGAAAAAGAAAAAGAAACAGCAUAUUUGAAUGGAACACUUUUAGUCCUGCAGCGUGGUUCAAAGCAUCUACAAUCUACCCAUUUCUGAAAUAUUGAUUUAUACAAAAACUGAAGUUGCAAAAAUCAGUAAAGCAACAGGAUCUCUACCUGUACAUUGGCUGAUUACAGGACUUCUUUGAUGCGUGGUGAAGAAGUCUGAAAUAUAAACAGACAAACAAACCAACAAACCUGAUCUGGCUUAGCCCCUGAGACUUCUUGGUGAACCCCCACGCAAGUAUCAAGCACUUUACACCCUAGAGAGCUUUUCAAAAUCAGCCAAAGUGAGUUGAAUGCUGUUGCCUCCUACAAAACACCUUGACUAUUUGUUUGAAUAGGAAGGCAGGAUAAAAGUUGGACAAGUGAAUUCAUCAAAAGGAAUGUCGGCGGAUAUCUACAAUUACCCUUUUAUUCUUAGCAAAAUCAAAUAAAGGGAUCUAUCAGGU